rnacentral:misc_RNA from 1 species
GGAUUCUUCAGUUUUCCACGCUUUGACGAAGGAACCAUGUGGGCAGUUCGUCGAGCGUCUUCUUCCUUCAAGAAACAAGUAUUUAUAACCGGAGGCUCUCGAAUAUGUUAUUCCACUCUAGAUAUUACAAGUCACUGCCUGAAAGGACACAAUGAUGGGCUUAAAGGGGAUUCCAAUGUAAUAUCACAUAGAGCUCUUACACUUGGAGGAUACCAAAUAACAUCUCAUGGUUUUCUAAGAGUAUUCAAGGAAAGCCGAAGUUUUUCUUCACAAGCUGGCACAAAGAGCAGUGGAGAGGAGGAUAGUAAUUCAGACGAUGGAUUUUCAGAGCUUGAAUCUUCUAGUGCAACUGAGGCAAUACAAGAAGUCAACAAAGUUGAUGAGUCAGUCUCUGAGCAUGAGAUUUCCGAUGAGGAUCUUGAUGGUGAAGAUGUGGAAGCACCUCAGGAAUUAUUGUCUGAUACCGAGGCUGAGAUAACAAACGGAAGUCUCCAAGGAACGGAGUUUCUUCAGCAUUAUUCAAUGCUGUCAUGG